rnacentral:rRNA from 1 species
UACGUAGGGUGCAAGCGUUGUCCGGAAUUAUUGGGCGUAAAGAGCUCGUAGGCGUUUCGUCGCGUCGGCUGUGAAAACCCGGAGCUCAACUCCGGGCCUGCAGUCGAUACGGGCGGACUGGAGUGUUGCAGGGGAGACUGGAAUUCCUGGUGUAGCGGUGAAAUGCGCAGAUAUCAGGAGGAACACCGGUGGCGAAGGCGGGUCUCUGGGACGGUACUGACGCUGAGACGCGAAAGCGUGGGGAGCGAACAGG